CACGAAGUCAGCGGGCAGCGACUGCGAGAAACGCGGCCCGGUGCGGCACGGGCUGCAGUCGCACGACCGCUUCACAACGCCCCGCUCCGCGCCGACUGCACGGCGCAGCUCUGUGACGUCACCAACUUUCCGGCGCGCGAUGAUGACAUCACAUCCGGACGCCCCGCUUCGCGUCGACUGCACGGCGCCGCUCCGUGACGUCACCAACUUCCGGCGCGCGAUGAUGACAUCACAUCCGGUCUGGAGCGGAAAGCGGUGUGCGGAUGGGGAAGAGCGAUGGUCUUGUCUGUCCAGCACCAACAAUUAGCAGUCUUCCAGCAUAAUGAGCCCAUUGAUAUCCUUGUCACACUGAUUGGGAGUGCAGUGUCUAACUUAUCUUCAGCUCAAGGCUUGGAGCUGUUCCAGAUGGCUGCACAGACCAGAGCUGCAGUCUUUGUACCAAUAAAUUACUCCAUGUACCUCA